UACGGGGGGGGCAAGCGUUGUUCGGAAUUACUGGGCGUAAAGGGCUCGUAGGUGGCCAACUAAGUCAGACGUGAAAUCCCUCGGCUUAACCGGGGAACUGCGUCUGAUACUGGAUGGCUUGAGGUUGGGAGAGGGAUGCGGAAUUCCAGGUGUAGCGGUGAAAUGCGUAGAUAUCUGGAGGAACACCGGUGGCGAAGGCGGCAUUCUGGACUGUAACUGACACUGAGGAACGAAAGCCAGGGGAGCAAACGGG
rnacentral:rRNA from 1 species